AACUUUCAGCAAUGGAUCUCUUGGCUCUCCCAUCGAUGAAGAACGCAGCGAAAUGCGAUACGUAAUGUGAAUUGCAGAAUUCAGCGAAUCAUCGAAUCUUUGAACGCACCUUGCGCCCUUCGGACAUUCCGAAGGGCCUUCCUUUUUGAGUAUCAUGAACACCUCAACUCUUCCUGGUUUUCCAUGAUGAGCUUGGACUUUGGGGGGUUUUGCUGGCCUACAGUCAGCUCCUCUAAAAUAAAUCAGCUUGCCAGUGUUUGGUGGGUAUCGCAGGUGUGAUAACUAUCUACGCUUGUGGUUUUCCACCAGGUAACCUUCAGCAGUGGAGGUUCACUGGAGCUCACAGAUGUGUCUCUCCUCAGUGAGGACAGCCCUUUGAAUGUUUGAUCUCAAAUCAGGUAGGACUACCCGCUGAACUUAAGCAUAUCAAUAAGCGGAGGCU
rnacentral:misc_RNA from 1 species